rnacentral:rRNA from 1 species
ACGGGUGCAGCAGGCGCGAAACCUCCGCAAUGCACGCAAGUGCGACGGGGGAACCCCAAGUGCCACUCUUAACGGGGUGGCUUUUCAGAAGUGUAAAAAGCUUCUGGAAUAAGGGCUGGGCAAGACCGGUGCCAGCCGCCGCGGUAGCACCGGCAGCUCAAGUGGUAGCCGCUUUUAUUGGGCCUAAAGCGUCCGUAGCCGGUCUGAUAAGUCUCUGGUGAAAUCCCACAGCUUAACUGUGGGAAUUGCUGGAGAUACUAUCAUGACUCGAGGUCGGGAGAGGCUGGAGGUACUCCCAGGGUAGGGGUGAAAUCCUGUAAUCCUGGGAGGACCACCUGUGGCGAAGGCGUCCAGCUGGAACGAACCUGACGGUGAGGGACGAAAGCCAGGGGCGCGAACCGGAUUAGAUACCCGGGUAGUCCUGGCCGUAAACGAUGUGGACUUGGUGUUGGGAUGGCUUCGAGCUGCCCCAGUGCCGAAGGGAAGCUGUUAAGUCCACCGCCUGGGAAGUACGGCCGCAAGGCUGAAACUUAAAGGAAUUGGCGGGGGAG